UCAUUGAUGAUUACGGUUCAUUCUUCAUUUUCGAAGAAAUUGGGCCGAUGAUUCCACCAGACCAAAAUCCGCACCAUACAGUGAUUCGUGCUGGGUGCAUUGGCUUCUCGACGAUUACGUGCGGGUUUUCUGUGCCCCAAAUGCGACAAUUCUGCUUGUUAACGUAACCAUCGAGGUGGAAAUGAGCCUCGUCCGAAAAGAUGAUUUUUCGGUAAAAUUGACCAUCCUCGGUCAAACGAUCUUCUGCCCAAUCUGCGAACUGUAGAAUAGUGAAUAGCGACCCAUUUCGUAAAUUUUAGACUUUUUACUGAAUAUCUGUCACUUUCCGAAUGGUAUUUGACGUUUCCAAUGUCGAAAUAUAGAUAAUCCAAAUUUAAAACGUUAGAUGAU